AGACAUAUUUUAAAACAAAGUCGUAAUCAAAGAAUUUCCCAAGUUUGUGGGCUCCAGAAGAAGUUACUUAUUUCAAGCAAGUUUUUUGUUUGUUUGUUUUUGCUGUGAAGAAAUAAAAGAUUUCAAAUAUCAAGUUUUAUUAUAACCAUAAAGGUGUUGGUAAAAUGAUUAAGACUAAAGUUUUAAUUUAAAAUAAGUCUUUUAAAUGAAUUUGGAAAUACUGAAUGAUCUACUUGAAUUGAUUGCUUAAUAUACCCACUGUAGUCAUAAGCAAAAGACCGAAACAGCAUACUUCAGCAGAAAGAUAUAAUAGAGAUUAUUUCUGAAUGGAGAUUUUAGUAUGGCAAGAUGGGAAGAAUCCAUAUAGAUUCUUUGAUCAAAUCUGUUUUUGUGCCAGGCAGUGGUUGGCGCACGCCUUUAAUCCAAACACUUGGGAGGCAGAGGCAGGCAGAUUUCUGAGUUCGAGGCCAACUUGGUCUACAGAGUAAGUUCCAGGACAGCCAGGGCUAUUACAGAGAAACCCUGUCUCGAAAAACAAAACAAAACAAAACAAAACAAAACAAAACAAAACAAAAAAACCCUAAACAAAUAAAAACCCAAAACAAAUCUGAUUUUUGUUGUUUGUUUCUUAGUUACUCACUGUUUAUUUUCCAUUCAAAUAGAGCAUUCUUCUAGAAAGUUCACAUGUUCAUUCCUUAUAAAGAACUCUACUGUGGUGUGAAUUAAGUUACUUAAAAUAAUUUAUUUUUAGGUUUUAUUUUAUUUCCAAGAUUAUUAUUCAUUACAAGGCUGCCUUUUAAUGUUCUAUUUUGCAUUGAAAAAAUGAGUCUAGUGACAUAUUUCGUAUAACAUUUAGGAAUGUUUGAUUUAAAAAUAUAACUAUUUUUGAUAAUUAUGCUUUAAUUGUAGUGUCGAACUCAGAAAUCUGCCUGCCUCUGCCCCCCGAGUGCUGGGAUUAAAGGCGUGCGCCACCACGGCCGGCUCUUUACUGAUUAGUACACACACACACACACACAGAGGUACACAUAGCCUUUUCAAAUUGGCUUUACUUUGUUUACAAUGUGCGUCUCAGAAUCUCCCAUGUGUUUGUUAUUGUUUUCUUAGAUCGAUAACUCACAUUUUUGAGACAGGGUUUCAUAUAGCCCAGACUGAUCUUGGACUUGUCCUCUGUAUGUGGAUGACCGUGAACUCCAGGUCUCCUUGCUUCUCAAGAGCUUCACUUAUAGGCAUGCAACAACAUAUCAGGCUCUAGAACACAUUAGGGUUUUUUUGUUUUUGGUUUGUUUUUGUUUUUUUGUUUUUUUUUUUUUUUUUUUUGCAAUUCUUAUGUCCCACUGUUAAGUUCUUUGUUUACCCAUUUGACCAAUGACAGACAUGACUUCUAAUUUCAGAUAAUUAUGCAUAAGGCAGCUUUAGUUUAGUGAUUUCUAUGUGAAUAAAAAAAUCCAACUAAAAUAGAUUAUAGAGAUCAGAGAAAGCCCUGAGAGAGAUUAAAGUCUUUAGUGACUGUGUGUGGUGAUAUGAGCUGGGCAUGUCAAAGACCCCGGAGCCUCCGGCCCAUGGAGGAAUGGCAAAGCCUUCUUUCUGUGGCGAGUGAAAUUGACAGACAUAACAAAUCCUUCCUCAGGGGACUGAGUGUGAAUGUUGGCAGUGUCUGCAGACAAUGUCCAUCACAACUCUCCCUUCUGGAUAUUUAUGACUUAAAGACGGCUCCUCUACAGAGACUACUCUUAACAAGAUUAGCCAAGGCUACCUCCUCCAUCCAGCUGAACACCAUAAGCCUUGCCUCUUGAUUUAUCUGAAUAUAAUGAUCCCACUGUCUUGGUCAGCUCAAUUAAAUAACCAGGCCUCUCUGUUCAAAUACAGAAAACAAAUAUGCUGAUCUUCCUCCAUGCCAUGUGGUCUCAGAACUUAGACCUCUAAAUCCUAGCUUUCUUUCUGAGUGUCUGCCUGAUCCUCUUUGAUUCCUUCCCUUGCCACCCUCCUUAGGUCUGCCCCAGGAGCCAUUUUUGGAGAAACAAAAUCUAAAUGCCAAAGAGUGUAGUUGCUGGAUCCCAUACAAGAAUGAGUUUGUUUAUCUUCUCAAGAAAAUCAGCAAAUUAUCAUCAAAUUAUCUUUCAUGUUUGUUGUGCCAUUCUGCAUUCCCAUCGUAAAUGAAAGGGUUUUCCCUGUGGUGUGCUGGCUUUGGGAAUACACUGUACUGAUAUGACUUGUUCUUGCAGUAACGCAAUCUUUACUCUUUUGAGAAAUUCAUUCUUUCUACUAUACCUAAACCUAUACCUAGGUUUAACUUUUGUUGUCCUGUUCCAUUAGUAGAGACUUCCAGAAGAUGUUGAGAGACAAGCCAUCCUUGACUUGUUCCAGAUGUUCAUGAGAAAGCCUUGAGUUUCUCACCUUUGAGCAAAAUGGUUAGAAUAAAAGGCUUUGUUUUGGAAUUUUCAUAUGUGUGUAUCCUUGUAUCUUGUUCAGAUUUGCUUCCACACUGUCUUCCUCUGUUGCCACUCCUCAUUUCUUGUCCUGUUCCUUCCUUCAAGUCGUGCCUGCAGUUAUGUCCCUUAUGUUGUUACUCUCUCAUGUUUCCCUCCUCUCUUCUUAGCUUUCUCCCUCCCAUACGCCUGUCACCUCAGCUAUCAAUGUCAUGUCAUUGAUAGAUGAGAGAAAAUGUGGUACAUGUUUCCGGAGCCCUUUUUAUCUUGGCUACUGUUAUACCUCCUAGUCCCAAUUGUUUCCUGCAGAUAUUACAAUUUCAUUCCUUAAAUAGAUAUUUGCUAUUUUAAUACAUUUAAAAAUAUAUAUCACUUUCCUCUUUCCUUUUCCUCCCUUUGUGUCCUCUCUCAAAUUAUAUAUACAUAUACAUACAUAUAUAAAUAUAUAUUGCACAAUUAUAUAAAUACAACCUGCUGAAUCUGUUUUUGUUGCUGUGUGUAUACAAUAUCAGGGCCAAUUACUUUGCAUUGGACAAGCCACAAAGGGACUCAUCUUUGGGUGAGGCUAAUGGUCCAUAUCUUAGCAGUCAUCAGUUGCUAGUAGUUCUAUAGCUAGGAAUGGGGCCCUGUAAAAUGUUGUCUUUUACCUGUGAGCAUGUCUAGGAAAGACUGGUUCACAGGAGAUUUCCUGGAAUUCUGGCCCUUACAAGUAUAGGAAACAUAAGGAAAUUGUCUUUGUCUUCUAUGUGUUCAUUGUACUUUUGAACAAAUUCCUGAAAUAAUUUUAUUCUUUUGGUGAACAUGGAAUAAUGUCUUAUAAACAUUUAUAUAUAAUUUGAUCAAAAAUUUCAAAUAGGGCUUUUUUUUUCUGUUGGACAGUGUUGAGCUAUAUUUAAAUUCAAAUGGUAUGAGCAAGUACUCUAUUUAAUACAGUUCUGUGGUGGUUUGAAUAGGUCCUCCCCCCCCCCCCCUCCAUAGCCUUAUGUGUUUGAAUGCUUGGCUAACAGGGAGUGGCACCACUAGGAGGUGUGGCCUCAUUGGAAUAGGUGUGGCCUUGUUACUUAGUGGGUUGGCUUAGACGUCUCCUAUGCUCCAGCUCUACCCACUGUGGAAUCAGAGUCUCCUCAUGGCUGCCUUUAGAAGACUGCCCUCUUCGGCUGCCUGCAGAUUAAGAUGUAGAAUUCCCAGGUACGGCAGUCUCUAGAUGGUCCAUCCUUUCGUCUCAGCUCCAAAUUUUGUCUCUGUAACUCCUUCCAUGGGUGUUUUGUUCCCAAUUCUAAGAAGGGGCAAAGUAUCUACACUUUGGUCUUCAUUCUUCUUGAGUUUCAUGUGUUUUGCAAAUUGUAAUUUAUAUCUUGGGUAUUCUAAGUUUCUGGGCUAAUAUCCACUUAUUAGCGAGUACAUAUCAUGUGAGUUCUUUUGUGAUUGGGUUACCUCACUGAGAAUGAUGCCCUCCAGGUCCAUCCAUUUGCCUAGGAAUUUCAUAAAUUCAUUCUUUUUUAUAGCUGAGUAGUACUCCAUUGUGUAAAUGUACCACAUUUUCUGUCUCAGUACAGGGGAAUGCCAGGGCCAAGAAGUGGGAGUAGGUGGGUGGGGAAGUGUGUGGGAGAGGGUGUGGGGGACUUUUGGAAUAGCAUUGGAAAUGUAAAUGAAAUAAAUACCUAAUUAAAAAAAAAGAUGUAGAAUUCUUGGCUCCUUCAGCACCAAGUCUGCUUGCCUGCUGCCAUGCUUCCCACCGUGAUGAUAAUGGACUGAACCUCUGAAACUAUAAACCAGCUCCAACUAAAGGUUUUUCUUUGUAAGAGUUGCCUUGGUCAUGGUGUCUCUUCACAGCAAUGAAACCCUAACUAAAAAGUUCCUUUCAUUCUGUUUAAUCAAUAUAUGUUAGUAUGCCAUCAAAUUUGAGUGAAAUGGAAAAGAAUGAAUCAAUCCAUUUCAGGCUCUAUAUUAAUUUAAGUAAAUCAUCAAAUCAGUGUUCUUAGCAAGUUAUAGAAACACCAAUUCAAUUAGAGUUGAUCCAAGCAUGCAUAUGUUUAAUUUAAAUUUCUAUUUAAAGUAUAAUUACAUCAUUUCCCAUACUCUCUUAUUUCCCCCAUGCCUACAACAUCCCUACUUCUGCCCAAAUUCACUGGGCUCCUUUUCUUUUUAAACAUUGUUUUUACAUGUUGUACACAUAAAAAAAUAAACAAAUAUAUAAAUACAACCUACUGAAUUAAUUCACUGUUUCCUCUGUGUAUAUGUUUCUAGAGUACUGGAUAACCAAUCAGAAGGCUCUUUUUCCUCAUGUCAGCAGUUGUUAAUUGCUUAUAGCUCUUUAUCUGGGGGUGGGGCCCUGUGAGGUUUUUGCCAUUUCCAGUGGCAUGUCUAUCUGUGUUAGAAUUGCUCCGGCCUUAUUUAGGCAGCCAUGUUGUUGAGAUCAUGGUGUAGCUUCCCUUCACAGCAGAAUUCCAGGUCCUGUGGUCUGACCCUACUUUUGUGGUGUUCUCUGUGCCUUAGGUGUAGGCAUUGUGUUGUAGAUAUAUCAACUGGGGUUAGGCACCCUACAAUCAACUGGUGGUUUCACCAACCAUGGCUGUCUAUAAUGAUCUCCAACUCCUGCAAAAAGAAGGUUCUUUGGUGAGGGGUGAGAGUUACACUUUCUUAUGGGUAUAAGGAUAAAUACUUAUAAUGCAACUACAAUUAUACUGAUUUAGAAAAGUAGUGUGUGUUGUGUGGAUUUAUACAUGUUUUUGGUUAGAAAAGGGUAAUAAUACAAUUAUUUCAAAAGAAUAAGUAACAUUUUUAAAGCUCCCACAUCUUCUAGAAAUGUUAUUAUUAUUUAUUAUUAAUUAUAAUUGUCAUGCUCUCACCAGAGUAAUUUUCUGAAGGCUUAGGCUAGGGGAAUAAAAAAGACUAUAUUCUUGCAAUUUACAUUUUAAAAUCUUAAUCCACUAACAAAACUACAAAUACUGCCAAAGACAAAGAGUGAGAUUUUUUAAAAAAUUGUGCCAGUUUCUAUAUGAAACUAUAGGGAAAUUAUUGUUACUAUUUACACCCAGGAUGUUCUAAGCCCAUGUUUAGCAUUAUUAUCAAUACAUAGCCAUCGCAAUAAGUAGAAUUCUGUUGACUGCACAUGAAGGUUGUGGUCUGCUUGGCUUCCUUAUGUGUCCAUAUGCUGUUGCUUGGAAGAAUCAUAAUAUUCUCUUUUGCAUGUCAUGGAGGUUCAGUUGUAAGCACUAUGAAGCUCACAGUGGUAAGGUAUAGACUAUUAUUGUUAUUACUAUUAUCAUUAUUUUAAACGGGUCUCAAAAUUCUAUUACAGGGUUGUUUUUUUGGUUGUUUCCCAUUUUAAGAUAUUGAUUUUAAAAACUCUUCUCUCACACACAUACACACAUGAAAUCAAUACAUAAAUAAAUAAUAAAUGGUUCAUGAAACAUUAUCCCUUUGAAGGGUUUACAGUGCACUGUUGUCAUUGAACAGUCUGCUACUGUUAAACCUAAAUAGCCAAUGUAGACAAACUCAUUACUGAGUAAGAAUGGGGUGCUAGUUGUUAGGGAUAAUUCUGAGUGGCCUUCUGUGCAGUCUUGGUGACCUUGGUAGCUCCAACAGCCUUCUUGUCCACAGCUUUGUUGACUUGUAUAGCAAUUGUCUUUCUCAUGUCAUAUACAGC
rnacentral:lncRNA from 1 species